AUGGAGAAGAUGGAUGACAUUGAGAAGUCAAUUGACACCAAGUUGGACGCCAAGUUUGAUGAAUUACUCAAACGUCUCCCACAACCAGCUCUACGUCGUGAUACAGUAGGGCGAGCACAGCGUGUUCCUAUUGAGCCAGGACAAAAUUCUGGUGUCGCUGCUACUGCUGUUGGUCCUUCUGUAGCUCCUGCUGCUACUGCAGAGGUGGAGGACUAUUACGAGGAUGAGGUUGAUCAAAAUCAGAACUACGUGCAACCACCAGCACCACCACCAGCAGGUCGACCUCAGGUAUAUAUUCGCAACGGUAGGCCUGCACCAGAUAAUGACCAUAUUCCUAAACUGAAAUUGAAUAUUCCACCGUUUGAGGGUAGAUAUGUUCCUGAUAUAUAUCUUACUUGGGAGUUAGAAACUGAACAACGUUUUACAUGUUUACAAUAUCCCAAGGAGAGACGG
rnacentral:rRNA from 1 species